rnacentral:lncRNA from 1 species
AUAAAGAAAAAGACAAAAGUAGUGUGCAAAACCUAAAGAAAGGUUUUUUAUCAGAACAGAGAAAGAUUCACGAGCCUCGCUAAUAGUAAAAGUAAAGAGUAAAAGUAAAGUUAUGUUUAGUUCAUCUCUCAUAAUUAUACAUACAUAUCAACGAUAGCAGACUGUAUCAUGUAUUUCUCAGGACAUUUUAGUCCCCUUUUUCCUUAUCACAUAAAAAAAAACACCUCACUAAAAUGUCCGUAGUGAUGGACUAAGUAUAUUCCUUAAUACAUUUUGCAAUGCCGCGCAAAGUUAAAACACAACUGAAGUAUACAACCUAGGUACGUGUGCACUGGCCAGGCGUAGUUUUAAGAUCGACAGGGGUCGUCCGUUGGGGCAGAGAGGCUUGCUCGGACUCGCCUCGGGAGGAGGGACACUCUGGUUAAAACUGAGCUCUUUUCGUUUGUGCGCUACAUCUCUCUCCUUCUCUCUCUCUUUGGCUGCUUCCUUCUCUUUCGUGCUGCCCUUGUGUUCAGCCAAAAGUAUGUUGAAAUGUUUCCUUCUUCCUGGGACGGCCCGGCGCUGAGUCAAGGAGUGGGACUGGGGGAGGAAGACAGUAAAGGUCAAUAGCAGAUUCACAUACUAUACCUGCGCCAGAGUGUGUCAGAGAGAGUUUUGACUAUAGACGCCAUGAUACAGUCCAGAGAGCAUUUGGACCAGAAUUACAGCCUGCAAACAGACAAACAGGUCAGAGAGCGCGUGCAGGGCCGCUUCGUCUCAGGGUCCGGGACUCCACAGUGUUUAUUUGGAUCAAACACUCUUCCUAUAAAAAACAAAACAACAACAACAGACAUAUUGAUUUUUUGAGGUGCAAACAGAGCAAAGGUGUGUACAACCGAAACUGAGAUCUCAGAGGACUGUGCAGAACUGCAGAGAAAGCAGAGUCAGACGUCUCAAAAUAUUAACGUUCAUUGUUCAUUUUGUAUAAUGACUGAUCAGUGAUGAAAUUAGCAGUAAGAGCUUUUUAUUACUUAUUAUGGAGAUUGUUCGACUUUUAGCAACCAUUUUUCAGAUUAAUGUUCAACUGAUGUUCUUGCAAUCCAAUAAAGAUGAUUGUAAAAAUUUAU